rnacentral:rRNA from 1 species
UACGUAGGUGGCAAGCGUUGUCCGGAUUUAUUGGGUUUAAAGGGUGCGUAGGCGGUCUAUUAAGUCAGUGGUGACAUAUGGCAGCUUAACUGUCAGGGUGCCAUUGAUACUGAUGGACUUGAGUGAAGUCGAAGUAGGCGGAAUUGACGGUGUAGCGGUGAAAUGCUUAGAUAUCGUCAAGAACACCGAUAGUGAAGACAGCUUACUAGGCUUAUACUGACGCUGAGGCACGAAAGUGUGGGGAUCAAACAGG